GGAGGGUUGGCCGAGUGGUUGAAGGCACCGGUCUUGAAAACCGGCAGGGCCGCAAGGCUCUCGUGAGUUCGAAUCUCACACCCUCCGCCA
rnacentral:tRNA from 1 species